GGAGGAAGAAGGCCCUGGAGCUGCCCCAGCACAGCAGCUAGAAGAGGUGGAGCAGUUCCAGCCACCACAGGAGGACCCAGCCGUGGACCCGACACAAGAGCACGACCCCGCCCGUGGCCGCUUCCGCAGAACAGCGCAGAUGGUUUGCAAAUUCAUCAGGAGCAUUCGGGAGAAAGAGACCAGCGUCAUGGGCACUGGGGUCAUACCAUACUCAGAGGUCUUCAAAUACGAGACCAGUGCCGCCCUGCUGGAUUUGCUUGUGAAGCAGGGUGUUUCCAGUCCAGAGCAAGUAAGCAGCAUGUGGCCAGGGUUCAGUUCCCCCAGGAGUCACAUGGCUUGCCAAGCCACGCCUGCUGGUCACUUUAAGCCUUUGAGGCCAUCCCAGUGUGGUGGGAAGGGAAGCAGUUCUCUGGGGAAGCUGGGGGACAUUACUCCCUGUGGCAGCUUCCAGCUCUCCCCGUACCUUCUCCAGGUGCCUGCCAUGGUGAGGUUCAUCCACCGAUGGCUCAUGGCCAAUGAGCCUGCUGAGCACAGGCUGGACAAUACCCUGCUGGAGCUGACAGAGGCACAGCCAGCUGAUGUAGUCAUGACUCUCCUGCGUGUGGCCCCAUUGUGUGACAGGUAUGGGGCCCACCUGCCCAAAGGGCUCAGGGCUCACCAGCCCAUCACCCUGUGGAGCCUGUCUCCCAGGCGCGUGACAAACGGAGAGUUCCAGGGCCCUCUGGCUCCUCCAUUUUCCAGCCGUGGCAUGUCAGCCCCCAAGCCUGCUGCCAUGCUCCCUCCCUGCCCCUCAGGGGCCGGUGCCCACAGGGGUGGGCUGCCUGGGUGCUGCUGGUGAAGGGCCGUGGGCAGAAGCAGAGCUGGCAGUCAGCCCGGGCCCCUACAGCUGCCCAGGCCACGGUGCUGUGGCUGACACCCCCCGACACAGAGUUCUGACCCCACAGAGCUGCUGCGACCAUGUGGACGACAAUCAUGUCCUCGCCCAGGACUGCGGAGCUGGCGCAGCUGCUGCUCCUCGAUGUGCUGGGGAGCUGGCCAGAGCACAGCAUGCGCACCUCCGAUGGCGACGACACAGAUGUCUUUGCCCUGGCUGCAACUGUGGUGAUGUGGAAGAUCCUCCAGGUGCCCUGUGUCCCACACGUACUGAUAUUCUUUUUCCCCCGCCUCUUUGCGCAUCUC